rnacentral:misc_RNA from 1 species
GAUGAAGAACGUAGCGAAAUGCGAUAAGUAAUGUGAAUUGCAGAAUUCAGUGAAUCAUCGAAUCUUUGAACGCACAUUGCGCCCCUUGGUAUUCCGAGGGGCAUGCCUGUUCGAGCGUCAUUACACCACUCAAGCACUGCUUGGUAUUGGGCAUCGUCCGUCGAAAGGCGGGCGUGCCUCGAAGACCUCGGCGGGGUUUCUCCAACUUCGGGCGUAGUAGAGUUAAAUCGAACGUCUUAUAAGCUUGGUGGGACUCCAUUGCCGUUAAACCUUUUAUUUUCUAGGUUGACCUCGGAUCAGGUAGGGAUACCCGCUGAACUUAAGCAUAUCAAUAAGCGGAGGA